rnacentral:rRNA from 1 species
GACGAACGCUGGCGGCGUGCUUAACACAUGCAAGUCGAGCGGGAUCCAACCGGUGGCAACACCGGGGAAGAUCUAGCGGCGAACGGGUGAGUAACACGUGAGCAACCUGCCCCGAAGACUGGGAUAACACCGGGAAACCGGUGCUAAUACCGGAUGUCGUCAUUAGGCCGCAUGACCUGAUGAUGAAAGGAUUCAUCGCUUCGGGAGGGGCUCGCGGGCUAUCAGCUUGNGGUGGGGUAACGGCCUACCAAGGCGACGACGGCUAGCUGGUCUGAGAGGACGACCAGCCACACUGGGACUGAGACACGGCCCAGACUCCUACGGGAGGCAGCAGUGGGGAAUCUUGCGCAAUGGGCGAAAGCCUGACGCAGCAACGCCGCGUGGGGGAUGAAUCCUUCGGGUUGUAAACCUCUUUCAGCUCCGACGAAGCGAGAGUGACGGUAGGAGCAGAAGAAGCACCGGCCAACUACGUGCCAGCCGCCGCGGU